ACAGUGCACGUAUUGCUAUUUUCCGGAUUUUCUGUUCCAGUACCGACAACAAAAGUUUACACAUUUAAAAUCUAACUGUUCCCGAUGACCAACGAACAUGAUCCGAAGCAAUUUUGGAAACCAGUAACCGGAAGUUUUAUUUACCAUGCUGUAAACAAAGACAAAGGAAACGUACAAAAUAAAGAAUAACCUUAUCAUGCGUUAAAACUGGAUCAAUUAGCAUGAUUAGACGUACCAAAAUUUAGGAUAGAUUUUCAGAAAUGCAGAUUAAAAUUGAGAAUGGAAAUGGGGAUUAUAUAGAAGAAUAUAAGCUUAGAAAUGAUUCAAACCAUCCUGGAGGAGCAAAUUUUAUGAAGAAGCCAGCAGAUGUCAAAAGAAAUAAAAAGAAUGGAACAAAAGAAACUUUGAAAAAGAACAGUGAUACGAAAAUUUUGAAUACAUGUUUUGCAUUUAUAAUUGUAAUUAUAUCUUGUAUAGUGUUGACUAAGGCAGCAAAGAAAACAGUAAAAAAACUUCAGAAAAAAAAUGUCCGAUGCUACAUGUGAUCAAACAUGAGAUCAAGAAAUACUUCUAAAAAAAAUGCACAAAGAUUAAAAUCAGAAAAAAACCAUGACAAAUUAUUACGUGUUCAAGGUAUUACGAAAAAUAGGGUUAUGUCAAUGAUACAUAAAUCCGACAAAAGUAAACAAAAUAUAUGUAGAUUCAACUGUAAUCAACAAACAAUUGUAAAAGGAGAUGUGGGGUAAAGAUCAGUAUGACAGCAGUUGUUUUUCAGAUGCAGAUCCAGGAUUAUGAAAAGAGGGGCCACAGGCUCUAAACUAGACAAAGUUUGAGUGAAAUAGUAGGAAUUAGAUUAACCAUAAUUGUAGCUCCAUAAGGGGACCCAGAACCCCCCCCCUCCUCCC